ensembl:lncRNA
GUCGAAUUAACACUUACAGCAUCAAAUUUAAACCCUAACUUUUACAGUAGAUGUAAAUACUGGAUGCUUUUGCAAAAUGUCAUGAAUAUCAUUUAUUUUUAUUUACUUAGCUAUUUAUUAAGUGUGCAGGACGUUACCUUUAAAUCAUUUUCAAUGUUGAGAAACACAGUCAUUACAGUGGGGUCCCUUAUUAUUAGUAUUUUUAUUAGUAUUAGUAGUAGUGGUAGUAAUAGUGGUAGUAGUAGUAAUGGUAAUGGUUGUAUUGGUAGUGGUAAUAGUAGUGGUAGUAGUACUAGUGGUGGUAGCAGUAGUAGUAAUGGUAGUAGUAGGGUUGUAGCAGUAGUGGUGGUAGUAGUGGUGGUGGUAGUGAUAGUAGUAGUAGAGGUAGCAGUAGUGGUGGUAGUAGUGGUAAUAGUAGUAGUAUAGGUAGCAGUGGUGUUAGUAGUAGUAGUAGAGAUAGCAGUAGUGGUGGUAGUGGUGAUAGUAGUGGUGUUGGUGGUAGUAGUAGUAGAGGUAGCAGUAGUGGUGGUAAUGGUGAUAGUGCUGUUAGUAGUAGUAGUAGAGAUAGCAGUAGUGGUGAUAGUAGUAGUAGUAGUAGAGAUAGCAGUAGUGGUGAUAGUAGUAGUAGUAGUAGAGAUAGCAGUAGUGGUGGUAGUGGUGAUAGUAGUGGUGUUGGUAGCAGUAGUGGUGAUAGUAGUAGUAGUAGUAGUAGUAGUAGUAGUAGUAGUAGUGGUGGUGUUAGUAGUAGUAGUAGUAGUAGGGUAGCAGUAGUGGUGAUAGUAGUAGGAGUAGUGGUUGGUGGUAGUAGUAGUAGUAGUGGUGGUGUUAGUAGUAGUAGUAGUAGUAGUAGUAGUAGAGGUAGCAGUAGUGGUGAUAGUAGUAGUAGAGGUAGCCAUAGUGGUGGUAGUGGUGGUAGUAGUAAAGGUGUUAGUAGUCGUGGUAGUAUGAGUCGUAUAAAUACUGAAUCAUUAUUACUAAAUAAAUAAAUAUGAGGAAAAAGCCCUCACGUGGGUCAAGCUCCAAAAAGUUCAUGAAGGC